GAUGAACGCUGGCGGCGUGCCUAAUACAUGCAAGUCGAGCGAACGGACGAGAAGCUUGCUUUUCUGAUGUUAGCGGCGGACGGGUGAGUAACACGUGGAUAACCUACCUAUAAGACUGGGAUAACUUCGGGAAACCGGAGCUAAUACCGGAUAAUAUUUUGAACCGCAUGGUUCAAAAGUGAAAGACGGUCUUGCUGUCACUUAUAGAUGGAUCCGCGCUGCAUUAGCUAGUUGGUAAGGUAACGGCUUACCAAGGCAACGAUGCAUAGCCGACCUGAGAGGGUGAUCGGCCACACGGGAACUGAGACACGGUCCAGACUCCUACGGGAGGCAGCAGUAGGGAAUCUUCCGCAAUGGGGGAAAGCCUGACGGAGCAACGCCGCGUGAGUGAUGAAGGUCUUCGGAUCGUAAAACUCUGUUAUUAGGGAAGAACAUAUGUGUAAGUAACUGUGCACAUCUUGACGGUACCUAAUCAGAAAGCCACGGCUAACUACGUG
rnacentral:rRNA from 1 species